UCGACGGUAAAAAAAUCCUUCUGUAAUAAUGUUGUCGAAAAUAUUUAGUGACAAAUAUUGGUCAUCGAUAAUUACGGACAUUCAAUAUUCGUCGGUAAAUACAUGAGCGAAUACGGUGCAUUACCGACAAAUAAAUUUGUUUGUAUAGUCCAUUAGUAAACAUGGUAACAAGUUCAAGUGCAAUGAACACUAUUUCUUACCCCAC
rnacentral:lncRNA from 1 species